rnacentral:misc_RNA from 1 species
AAAGAUCUAUAAAUAAAAAAUUCAAUCGUUUUGCCUAUGCUGUGAAGAAAUCGGAAGAAUCAAUUUUCUGGCAUGUCAGUGGCUGGAGAGGCCGUAGAGCAUGUGAAUUUUCCAGCAAUGGCAACAAAGGACCGGUCCGGAUGUUGUAACCCGGUGAAGAAGGCCGGCCCGGUUUCGUUGGACCAUGUGCUAUCAGCUUUAGGUGAGACCAAGGAAGAGAGGGAGUCGAGAAUCAGAAGCCUGUUUAGUUUCUUCGAUUCUGACAAUGCGGGGUACUUGGAUUAUGCGAAAAUUGAGAAGGGUUUGUCUGCUAUGCAAAUUCCAGCGGAGUAUAAGUUUGCUAAAGAAUUAUUGAAUGGUUGUGAUGCCAAUAAGGAUGGAAGGGUUGAUUAUCAGGAGUUUAGGAAAUACAUGGAUGAUAAGGAAAUGGAGCUGUAUAGGAUUUUUCAGGAUAUUGAUGUGGAGCAUAGUGGAUGCAUCUUGCCAGAGGAACUAUGGGAUGCCCUUGUAAAUGCUGGAAUAGAAUUAGAUGAUGAUGAACUUGCACGAUUUGUGGAACACGUGGACAAGGAUAACAACGGAAUUAUCACUUUUGAGGAGUGGAGGGAUUUUCUUCUACUCUAUCCACAUGAGGCCACCAUUGAGAAUAUUUACCAAUACUUGGAGAGGGUAUGUCUUGUAGAUAUUGGGGAGCAGACAGUCAUACCGGAAGGCAUCAGUAAGCAUGUUCAUGCAUCCAAAUACCUGAUUGCAGGGGGAGUUGCAGGAGCUGCUUCGCGUACUGCCACAGCACCUCUUGAUCGCGUUAAGGUCAUUUUACAAGUGCAAACAACUCAUGCUUCAAUUGGUCCUGCAGUCAAAAGCAUAUGGAAGGAAGGUGGUCUAUUGGGGUUUUUCCGUGGCAAUGGGCUAAAUGUGUUGAAGGUUGCACCAGAAAGUGCAAUUAAAUUUUACGCAUAUGAAACCUUGAAAAAUGCUAUUGGUCGUGCCAGGGGUGUUGAAGAUCAGAGAGACAUAGGAACUUCUGGGCGUCUUGUGGCUGGUGGAAUGGCAGGUGCAAUAGCACAAACUGCUAUAUAUCCCAUGGAUCUUGUUAAAACUCGGUUACAGACUCAUUCAUGUGAGAGUGGAAGCGUUCCUAGUCUGCGAAAACUAUCAAAAGAUAUUUUUAUACAAGAGGGACCUCGGGCAUUUUAUAGAGGAUUGGUACCAUCUCUGCUUGGAAUCAUCCCUUAUGCAGGCAUUGAUUUAGCUGCAUAUGAAACUUUAAAGGAUUUGUCAAAGGUUUACAUUCUUCAUGAUAGUGAAGCCGGCCCUCUUGUGCAACUGGGAUGUGGGACUAUUUCAGGAGCCCUGGGAGCAACAUGUGUUUAUCCUUUGCAGGUUAUUCGGACCAGAAUGCAAGCUGAUUCUGCAUACCAAGGUAUGGCUGAUGUGUUCCGAAAAACAGUUCAGCGUGAAGGCUUCAGGGGAUUCUACAAAGGACUUUUUCCAAAUCUUUUAAAAGUUGUGCCAGCAGCAAGCAUAACCUAUCUUGUGUACGAAUCAAUGAAAAAGAGUCUAGAUCUUGAUUAGCUGACAUAGAGUCAGCAGCAGAUUUCAGGUUCAAACUGCUGAUGAAGAUGAUGAUGAUAAUGUGACAUUAAAUAAGAUAAAUUUAGCUCAUUGGUGAUAUGAUUAUCAAAAUCAUACACCUGAUUUUUGACUCCCCAUUGGUUAUCGAUAUCGGCGGGGUUAUAGUUAUAGAGUUUU